rnacentral:rRNA from 1 species
UACGUAGGUGGCAAGCGUUGUCCGGAUUUACUGGGCGUAAAGCGCACGUAGGCGGAUCGUUAAGUUAGGGGUGAAAUCCUGGAGCUCAACUCCAGAACUGCCUCUAAUACUGGCGAUCUAGAGUCCGGAAGAGGUGAGUGGAACUCCUAGUGUAGAGGUGGAAUUCGUAGAUAUUCGCAAGAACACCAGUGGCGAAGGCGGCUCACUGGCCCAUAACUGACGCUGAGGCACGAAAGCGUGGGGAGCGAACAGG